UCGAACGCGUCUUGGUUAUUGAUGUUGGAUGCUUGCAUUUAACUGAUUUAACAUUGAGACGAGUGGCGAACUGGUGAGUAACACGUGGGUAACCUGCCCUUGAAGUAGGGGAUAACACUUGGAAACAGGUGCUAAUACCGUAUAACAACCAAAACCACCUGGUUUUGGUUUAAAAGAUGGCUUCGGCUAUCACUUUAGGAUGGACCCGCGGCGUAUUAGCUUGUUGGUAAGGUAACGGCCUACCAAGGCAAUGAUACGUAGCCGACCUGAGAGGGUAAUCGGCCACAUUGGGACUGAGACACGGCCCAAACUCCUACGGGAGGCAGCAGUAGGGAAUCUUCCACAAUGGACGAAAGUCUGAUGGAGCAACGCCGCGUGAGUGAUGAAGGGUUUCGGCUCGUAAAACUCUGUUGUUGGAGAAGAACAGGUGUGAGAGUAACUGUUCACAUCUUGACGGUAUCCAACCAGAAAGCCACGGCUAACUACGUGCCAGCAGCCGCGGUAAUACGUAGGUGGCAAGCGUUGUCCGGAUUUAUUGGGCGUAAAGCGAGCGCAGGCGGUUUCUUAGGUCUGAUGUGAAAGCCUUCGGCUUAACCGGAGAAGUGCAUCGGAAACCAGGAGACUUGAGUGCAGAAGAGGACAGUGGAACUCUAUGUGUAGCGGUGAAAUGCGUAGAUAUAUGGAAGAACACCAGUGGCGAAGGCGGCUGUCUGGUCUGUAACUGACGCUGAGGCUCGAAAGCAUGGGUAGCGAACAGGAUUAGAUACCCUGGUAGUCCAUGCCGUAAACGAUGAGUGCUAAGUGUUGGAGGGUUUCCGCCCUUCAGUGCUGCAGCUAACGCAUUAAGCACUCCGCCUGGGGAGUACGAC
rnacentral:rRNA from 1 species